UAAAAUCUUGUUUUUUACCAUGCAAUAUUGUGUCUAUUUUUAUGUUUGAAGUAAAAUGAUUGAAAAUCGUUUUGACGUGUCGACCAUUACUUUGCACAUCACACAUGCUUAUAACAACCAUGUUUUGCAUACACAACAUUUCACUUAUGUUAAAAAAGUCAGCCCAAUGUCAAUUAUAAUCAAAUGCUUGUGAGUUUUGCUACAAAUAUUCUCUAUUUUUAUUUUUGUUCUUGAGUAAUCUUUUUCCAAACAUAAAUGAAAUUAGAGAUAUGAUAAAUCAUGGUUGAAAUUCAGGGCUGAUUAUUUGAACAUAAAAAUAAUUUAAAACUUGCAGCAUUGACAAGAUAAAAAAAAAUCACAGGACUUGAGCAUUCAUUCUAGGCAAAGUUAAAAGAGAAAACGUUAAUAGUCGUCUUGAAAAUAUAUGCAAUAUUUUGCAUACUCAAACUUGAUCAAUAAAUCCAAGUGUACAACAGUUGCAAAUUUGUAACAGAAUCAUCAAUUCUUAAAAUUAGGUUAAAACUUGUUCAAAGUAUAACCAAAUAAUCAUAAGUAGCAAUGAGCUGUAAAUUAAAACAGAAACAAACAAGUAAACAAUAAUAAUAAUUAUUAUUAUUAUUAUUACUUGGAUGCUAAAUUAUAAUAUAAAUAUAAAAUGUCAAUACAAUGCCAUUCAUGAAUGAAUUGGAUUUGAUAGUAUCUGACACUUUAGACAAGCAUAGGAGGUGUUGAAAGAUGGUUAAGAACCUGAAUAAAUUUUUCAUUCUAUAAACAAUGUCAUCACAUACAAAAAAUACAAAUAAAAAUAAACUUUACUAAUAAAAAAAUGACAAUGUAGACUUCAGCAAUUUCAAAUACAUUUCAUGAAAUUCAUGGUAAUACUACUACCAUAAAUGGUAUGAAAGUUGAAAUAAUGCAUUACUAACCAUUUCUGUGUGGGUGUGCAAAUAUAUAUGUUAACACUCCCAAUAUUUUGAGUACGUGUGAAGUACUUGAAUUUGAUUACGGUUUAUUUGUGUCUACAUAUAACACCAUGCCAAAAGGAUGGGAAACAGCACAUAAUUUAUGUGUUUUUAAAUGAAACACGAGGUAUUUUCGAUUCCACCACUCCAAAUUUUAAACAGAAAAUACAUUGAAGAAAUAACUUUAAACAGCCAGAAGGGAGGAAAUGUUAAACACAAGCCAAAUCACAGAAUCUGCACCACAAAUAGAGAAAUAUACUUGGAAAACUCAUACAAAACAUAACACUAAAAAACCCCACAAAAAAAAAAAUUGUCAGGGGUGAUAUGAAUUAAUUUUGCAACUUGGAGGUGUUGGAUAACGUGACACAUCAAAUGGCAAGUUAAUGCCUACCUUCAAAUAUUAUCAGAAACCCUAAACGAACAUAACCCUUGCACUUUUGUGUUUUAAACAAAGCUUGUGUAGAGGACAAUGAAAGGCGGCGAUUUCCACUUCUCCACACAAGCACACAUCCUUUUGCAGCCACAACAAGUAC
rnacentral:lncRNA from 1 species